rnacentral:rRNA from 1 species
ACACUCCUACGGGAGGCAGCAGUAGGGAAUCUUCGGCAAUGGGGGCAACCCUGACCGAGCAACGCCGCGUGAGUGAAGAAGGUUUUCGGAUCGUAAAGCUCUGUUGUAAGUCAAGAACGAGUGUGAGAGUGGAAAGUUCACACUGUGACGGUAGCUUACCAGAAAGGGACGGCUAACUACGUGCCAGCAGCCGCGGUAAUACGUAGGUCCCGAGCGUUGUCCGGAUUUAUUGGGCGUAAAGCGAGCGCAGGCGGUUUGAUAAGUCUGAAGUUAAAGGCUGUGGCUCAACCAUAGUUCGCUUUGGAAACUGUCAAACUUGAGUGCAGAAGGGGAGAGUGGAAUUCCAUGUGUAGCGGUGAAAUGCGUAGAUAUAUGGAGGAACACCGGUGGCGAAAGCGGCUCUCUGGUCUGUAACUGACGCUGAGGCUCGAAAGCGUGGGGAGCGAACAGGAUUAGAUACCCCUGUAGUCCCAUGA